CCCUUAGAUGUUCUGGGCCGCACGCGCGCUACACUGAAGGGCUCAGCGUGUCUUCCCUUCCCGAGAGGGCCGGGUAACCCGCUGAACCCCCUUCGUGGUAGGGAUCGGGGCUUGCAAUUGUUCCCCGUGAACCAGGAAUGCCCAGUAAGCGCAAGUCAUAAGCUUGCGUUGAUUACGUCCCUGCCCUUUGUACACACCGCCCGUCGCUACUACCGAUUGAACGGCUUAGUGAGGUAUUUGGACCGGGCCUCUUGCAGCUCGCGCUGCGGGUGCGCCUGGGAAGACUCCCAAACUUGGUCGUUUAGAGGAAGUAAAAGUCGUAACA
rnacentral:rRNA from 1 species